rnacentral:rRNA from 1 species
UGGGGAAUCUUGCGCAAUGGGCGAAAGCCUGACGCAGCAACGCCGCGUGAGCGAAGAAGGCCUUCGGGUUGUAAAGCUCUGUCAGGGGGAAAGAAGGCACCUGGGUUAAUAGCCCAAGGGCUGACGGUACCCCCAAAGGAAGCCACGGCUAACUACGUUCCAGCAGCCGCGGUAAUACGUAGGUGGCAAGCGUUUUCCGGAAUCAUUGGGCGUAAAGCGCGCGUAGGUGGCUUGUCAGGUCUGAUGUGAAAUUUCGGGGCUCAACCCCGGACCUGCAUCGGAAACCGGCUUGCUAGAGUCUGGGAGAGGAGAGUGGAAUUCCUGGUGUAGCGGUGAAAUGCGUAGAUAUCAGGAGGAACACCGGUAGCGAAGGCGGCUCUCUGGAACAGUACUGACGCUGAGGCGCGAAAGCUAGGGGAGCGAACAG